UUGAUUGGUCGAAAGACCUUAUCAGAUUCUACCACCUCUGUGAACCGUUGACCUCCGGGUCGAUAAUCAAACAUCAGUGUAAUGAACGUAUAUUAUCUUAACGAAACA
rnacentral:misc_RNA from 1 species